AGAGUUUGAUCAUGGCUCAGAUUGAACGCUGGCSGAAUGCUUUACACAUGCAAGUCGAACGGCAGCACGGGAGCUUGCUCCUGGUGGCGAGUGGCGAACGGGUGAGUAAUGCGUCGGAACGUACCGAGUAAUGGGGGAUAACGUGGCGAAAGUCACGCUAAUACCGCAUACGCCCCGAGGGGGAAAGCAGGGGAUCGCUAGACCUUGCGUUAUUCGAGCGGCCGACGUCUGAUUAGCUAGUUGGUAGGGUAAAGGCCUACCAAGGCGACGAUCAGUAGCGGGUCUGAGAGGAUGAUCCGCCACACCGGGACUGAGACACGGCCCAGACUCCUACGGGAGGCAGCAGUGGGGAAUUUUGGACAAUGGGCGCAAGCCUGAUCCAGCAAUGCCGCGUGCAGGAUGAAGGCCUUCGGGUUGUAAACUGCUUUUGUACGGAACGAAAAGACUCCUUCUAAUAAAGGGG
rnacentral:rRNA from 1 species